GGUGAGCGGGAAGCAGAAGGAGCGGCUUCAACUAAAUUACCAAGAAGAAACAAAAUACAAGGGAAAACACAAUAUUUAAAAUCUAUUAUGGUUUUUCAGAGACCAAAUCCUUUCUCCAGAUAAAACUGUUGGUGAGUGGCCAUUGUCACACCUCAUUAUUUACACUGCGUGGCUCACGUCACAGUUGCCAGAUUUCUCCUCUGCAAUGCUCCUGUCAUUCUCUGUCCACACUCUGUUCUUUGGAAGCAACCCAUUAAGUUUAGUUCACCCUCAAAUGAGAGAUUAAUGGCAGGAAGACAUCUUCAGCAUCUUGUCUUGAGUGACUUUAGCCAGAAAUGUCUGCCACCAAGGAGCAGAAGAAGUCUGGGUGGGGUGGGAGGAUUCUGAAUGGCCCAAUAAAGGGGCCACCCUGGGCCAUCCUUCUGGGGUUAAUCUCAAGUUUUCCUCUGGAGCUGGUUCUUGUGCCCUAUCUCAAAGCCAUAGGUCAGGAAGGCCUGUCCCUUCUAGGAAAAGUGAGAAACUGGAGCUCGAGGGAGAGGAGGAGCCAAGAGGCAGAGGACAUCCAGCCACUUCCCAGGGCAUCGACUAUGACCUGCACAUGCAGGUUCAGCCAUUCUACUAGUAUUCUGCCAUGUUUACUCACUUUUAUUGGCCAUUAUUACAUUGAAAGCAGAGUAAGCGACUCAUCUGAGAAUGUAAUGAAAACUGUGAACACUAUCCUCUGAAAAAUGCAUGCAA
rnacentral:lncRNA from 1 species